rnacentral:rRNA from 1 species
GAUGAACGCUGGCGGCGUGCCUAAUACAUGCAAGUCGAGCGAACGGACGAGAAGCUUGCUUCUCUGAUGUUAGCGGCGGACGGGUGAGUAACACGUGGAUAACCUACCUAUAAGACUGGGAUAACUUCGGGAAACCGGAGCUAAUACCGGAUAAUAUUUUGAACCGCAUGGUUCAACAGUGAAAGACGGUCUUGCUGUCACUUAUAGAUGGAUCCGCGCUGCAUUAGCUAGUUGGUAAGGUAACGGCUUACCAAGGCAACGAUGCAUAGCCGACCUGAGAGGGUGAUCGGCCACACUGGAACUGAGACACGGUCCAGACUCCUACGGGAGGCAGCAGUAGGGAAUCUUCCGCAAUGGGCGAAAGCCUGACGGAGCAACGCCGCGUGAGUGAUGAAGGUCUUCGGAUCGUAAAACUCUGUUAUUAGGGAAGAACAUAUGUGUAAUUAACUGUGCACAUCUUGACGGUACCUAAUCAGAAAGCCACGGCUAACUACGUG